rnacentral:tRNA from 1 species
CAGGGAGACAACAAAAUGUUAAAUAUCAAUUUUGUCACCUUAGGUCGAUCGGUACCCCACAUUCUUAAUUUAUUAGGGAUUUUAUUUCCUAAGUUUUUCUAGGUCACACCCAUUAUUUUUCCUGGGCCAUUAGCUCAGGUGGUUAGAGCGCACCCCUGAUAAGGGUGAGGUCCCUGGUUCAAGUCCAGGAUGGCCCAUAUCUCUAUGUUGGGGGUAUAGCUCAGUUGGUAGAGCGCCUGCUUUGCAAGCAGGAUGUCAGCGGUUCGAGUCCGCUUACCUCCACUGAUUACCACCUCUUCCAUAAUUUUUAUAGAAAGGAAAUUUUUGUGUUGUGAUCAAAUUCUGAACGAUUCUAGCUUCCUAAUCAGACUAUUAAGAUGCUGGAUUCAUUGAAUUAAUUUCAUUGUUUUCAGAGAACCUUGACAACUGCAUAGAUUAUUUUUAAAGACAAUAAGCAUCUUUUAAUGAUGCAGAUUUAUUAUUUUUGCGAAUGCAUUAAUAACAAUUCUAUUAAGCUGAUGCUUCAAAUUUUUUGAAGUUAUU